UACGUAGGGUGCGAGCGUUAAUCGGAAUUACUGGGCGUAAAGCGUGCGCAGGCGGUUUUGUAAGUCAGAUGUGAAAUCCCCGGGCUCAACCUGGGAACUGCAUUUGUGACUGCAUCGCUGGAGUGCGGCAGAGGGGGAUGGAAUUCCGCGUGUAGCAGUGAAAUGCGUAGAUAUGCGGAGGAACACCGAUGGCGAAGGCAAUCCCCUGGGCCUGCACUGACGCUCAUGCACGAAAGCGUGGGGAGCAAACAGG
rnacentral:rRNA from 1 species